UACGUAGGGAGCAAGCGUUGUCCGGAAUCAUUGGGCGUAAAGCGCGCGUAGGUGGCCUCAUAAGUCCGCUGUGAAAGUCCAAGGCUCAACCUUGGAAAGCCGGUGGAUACUGUGAGGCUAGAGUACGGAAGAGGCGAGUGGAAUUCCUGGUGUAGCGGUGGAAUGCGCAGAUAUCAGGAGGAACACCGGUGGCGAAGGCGGUUCUCUGGGCCUGUACUGACGCUGAGGAGCGAAAGCGUGGGGAGCGAACAGG
rnacentral:rRNA from 1 species